CUGAGGGCAAAGUUACACAAAGAGGAGCCAAGUCUAUGUGGUCGUUCAUUGUUCCGAAGGGAAGUGGUUGGGCUAGUAACUGCCUGGAAGCUAUAGUGUGCACUGGUCUCUUUUGUAAGCGUGUCUCCAAACCAGCUGUGUUGGUCCGCCUGGAAGACCAUCUUGCUGAAGCCUGGGGCUGGGAAUAGCUGGAGCUAGCCGGAAAGAAAUUCUGUUUACUGCAACUGCUGCUGAAGCACCCAAGUUGUAGAAGGAUGUCAGUGGAGACGGGUUUUCCCUACAGCACACUACAAGGUAUUUAAAUCUGUAGAAUACUGCAGCAUCAAGGAAUCAAGGAGGUGUCAGCAGGAUGAUUAGGUCGAAUUUGGUGUAGCCACUCCCAGAAAGAUAUGGCUGAGCUGCUGCGGGUCCAUAAAUAUCUCCCCAGAGCACAUCCAGCCUGUAGUGGAAGACAUAAGCUGGUACUGAGUGGAUGGUGACCUCUUGGAGAGCCCUCCAGCCCUGUGAUUCAAUUAAAGAAGGUGACCUUCUCAGAGUCUCCUUCACUGAAAGGAAAUGGUUUUUCAGAACCGUCACAUCUCAUAUAUGAACAGCUUUUCUGUCUGAGUGACUGGUACAUAUGAGCAUUUUAAUCUUCAAAGGGCAAAGGGGUUUACAAACCUGAAAGAAUUAGUUAUCUACACAACCCCAUAGAUAAACACUAUUAUUUUCACUGUUAAGAACUGGGGGGAAAAAACAGAGGAGUUAAAUUACUCUAGAGUCCUCCGUGUUGAUAUUACAAUGUGUGGGUCAGGUGGGAAAUUGGAUGGCCAUGAAAAGUAGAAAUCAUGACAACAAUACAGCUGUAUCAUGUUGAAAUAAAACAAUAAUAACAAACUUCCAAGACAA